AUGUUACUCCAAAAAGAUUGUUUAAAUUUGAAAUUUCUGAAAAUCAAACAAUGGAAUUUAUUUGAUAAUCUGUGCCUGCAGGAAAUGAAAGGAAAUGACUUAAAAACAAUUUUAAAUAUAGGAAGAAAUCACCAAGGGAAGAAGAUGAUGGAAUCUUAUUUACUUACUGUAUGUAACUGGACGAGCAGUGGUCGUAGAACAAAUUAUGUCCUCUGUCCAUACAAAAUCUGUAAGUAUAAAAUGCUCACUCUUGUAGUUCUCUGGAUGGUUUUUUCUUGCUAAAAUUUCAUUGUUUGAUUUUAUCAGUAUGCCUGUCUCCCACGCUUGCUUAUUUAUUUGCUUACUAACUACAUACAUUCAUUUACUCACAUAUUAAAAAAAUAUUAAUAUGAAAUGAACUCCUUUAUGUUUGGGACAUUGUGCUAAAUACUUAUAAAGUCCUGGAUAAAAAUGUUUUCGUAUGAAAAGUGGAACUGUGAUAUGGUUAGUCUCAAUACCUAGUUUGAGAAUGACUAGUCCUUUCUGGAUUACAGCUGUAUAUAGGAAAGGGGAAAUGGAUGAUUGUGAAGACAGAUGUACAAAUCUCAUUAGGUUUCGAAGCAGAGACACAAACUGGAUUAAUUCAGUGAGGUGCUACAUAUGUGAUAGUCAUAAUGAUGACAGAGAAAAUGUUACAUGUUGUUGCCUAUAUUCCUCUUAAUAAGACAGAUAUUUUAAUACAUUUCGGAAUUAUUUCAGCACAGUAGUCCUUUAUGUGGAGUUAAUAACAAAUUGCAUUAUUAAUAACAAUUGUUCACAUUGAUAUAUUUAAGUAGUUUGUGAAAUUUUUAAGGUUCUUUUGUAAAUAAAAUUACUUUGUAGGGAUGACUUUAUUUUUAA
rnacentral:lncRNA from 1 species